UGCGAAGGAAAGGUCAAUAGUCAUUUAUGC
rnacentral:piRNA from 1 species